UACGUAGGGUGCAAGCGUUGUCCGGAAUUAUUGGGCGUAAAGGGCUCGUAGGCGGUUUGUCGCGUCGGGAGUGAAAACACGGGGCUUAACCCCGUGCCUGCUUCCGAUACGGGCAGACUAGAGGUAUGCAGGGGAGAACGGAAUUCCUGGUGUAGCGGUGAAAUGCGCAGAUAUCAGGAGGAACACCGGUGGCGAAGGCGGUUCUCUGGGCAUUACCUGACGCUGAGGAGCGAAAGCGUGGGGAGCGAACAGG
rnacentral:rRNA from 1 species